rnacentral:rRNA from 1 species
GUAGGUGGCAAGCGUUGUCCGGGAAUUAUUGGGGCGUAAAGCGCGCGCAGGCGGUUCUUUAAGUCUGAUGUGAAAGCCCACGGGCUCAACCGUGGAGGGUCAUGGAAACUGGAGAACUUGAGUACAGAAGAGGAAAGCGGAAUUCCACGUGUAGCGGUGAAAUGCGUAGAGAUGUGGAGGAACACCAGUGGCGAAGGCGGCUUUCUGGUCUGUAACUGACGCUGAGGCGCGAAAGCGUGGGGAGCAAACAGGAUUAGAUACCCUGGUAGUCCACGCCGUAAACGAUGAGUGCUAAGUGUUAGGGGGGUUUCCGCCCCUUAGUGCUGCAGCUAACGCAUUAAGCACUCCGCCUGGGGAGUACGGCCGCAAAGGCUGA